UAUCACUGUAUGCUUAGUACGGCGAGUGAGCGGCAAAAGCUCAAAUUUGAAAUCUGGCACCUUCGGUGUCCGAGUUGUAAUUUGAAGAAGGUAACUUUGGAGUUGGCUCUUGUCUAUGUUCCUUGGAACAGGACGUCACAGAGGGUGAGAAUCCCGUGCGAUGAGAUGCCCAAUUCUAUGUAAAGUGCUUUCGAAGAGUCGAGUUGUUUGGGAAUGCAGCUCUAAGUGGGUGGUAAAUUCCAUCUAAAGCUAAAUAUUGGCGAGAGACCGAUAGCGAACAAGUACAGUGAUGGAAAGAUGAAAAGAACUUUGAAAAGAGAGUGAAAAAGUACGUGAAAUUGUUGAAAGGGAAGGGCUUGAGAUCAGACUUGGUAUUUUGCGAUCCUUUCCUUCUUGGUUGGGUUCCUCGCAGCUUACUGGGCCAGCAUCGGUUUGGAUGGUAGGAUAAUGACUAAGGAAUGUGGCUCUACUUCGGUGGAGUGUUAUAGCCUUGGUUGAUACUGCCUGUCUAGACCGAGGACUGCGUCUUUUGACUAGGAUGUUGGCAUAAUGAUCUUAAGCCACCCGUCUUGAAA
rnacentral:rRNA from 1 species